UGGUGGAGUGAUUUGUCUGGUUUAUUCCGAUAACGAACGAGACUCUGGCCUACUAACUAGUGCUUGAAUCUUUUAUUUAAUGCGCUUCUUAGAGGGACAAGCAGUGCUCAGCUGCAUGAGAAAGAGCAAUAACA
rnacentral:rRNA from 1 species